GUGGAAACAAUGGUGUCGUGGUGGAGACACUGGUAAUGCGUAAGGACCUGAUUUGGGAAAAGUAGGAAAAGGGUUUGCAGAAUUGGGUGUAGUACUUUGAGCAUCAUUUUUCAGGGUUUGCGGGCGUCAGGAGGAUUGGUCUCCUAUACAUUGAAGUGAAUUGUCGUUGCGUGGGAUUGUUUCGAUUAUUCGAACGGGCAAAAUGGGACACGGUAUUGCGGUAACUCCUGAGGUGGCCAAGAAAGUUCUGUGGGCUUGUCUCGCCAUGCCCGUUGUAGCUCUCGGCGCACGUUUGUUCAUGGAUCCCACUCACGAAGCGCAGACUCAUCACGAGGAUCAACUACCCAUCCCGCCUCACGUACCUCCACCAGUAGCCGAUUUCCCUGACAAGCAACACCAAUCUGCGGAAUCAAGCUGAGAUGACGGGAAUUCCGUGCUUCAGAUUUAGUUUAUUGCGAUAAUGCCUGUGGAUUGGAGGGAAGUUAGAUGUAGUUGUUUAACAGCUUCAAAUGAUGGAGCCUAUUCCCUACACAGUAUCUGUGCCAAUAUUAUUUUUGUGCAGAGAAUAAGCUUGCACGUUUCAACGUUGUGUUUUGAGA